AAAAAAAAAAAAGAAAGGAGAAGACGUAUAGUUGUGAACAUCAAUCUGACGGUGCACAUUUUUUACUCAAACCAAUUGUUAUUUGCUUGAAUUCUUGCUUUCACUGUUAUUAUAAUUAUGUUUCUGCUUCUUAUUAAAUGAUGGUGAAAUGAGGAUAGCAACGGGCGAGCCACUUGAGCUUUGACAUUUUGAACUAAGUAAAUGCAGUUUAAUGCAUGAUCUCCAUGUGCAGAGAAAUGUGAAACUGUACGAGUACAUAAUUUCAAUAAAAUUGCAUUAACAUUGAAUCUUGAAUUCGUUCGAUAACAAACAACAAAUCUAUGUCAUAGUAACCUACAAUUUGUUUCAGAGAUGGCACAAAAUGGGAAAAAGAAAAAGAAAAUAUAUGACAACAAAAAUAAUAUGUGGUGGUAUGCAAUAUUUCAAAAACAAAAAAGAAAAAGAUAGAAUCACUUCCUGUUAUUUGCCUGCCUGUCUAGUCUACUUACUGAUUCCCCAAGGCAAAUCCACUAUCUAACUUCAGCUCUGGCAUGUCAUCAGAGAAAAUUUCUCCCUUAGGUUUGUUGAAAACACUCGUCCUUGCCUGUAUCUGCUAGCAACAUUUUCCAAGUUCCCUUAUUUCACUUCCUAUAUCUCUUUGUACAUACCACAGAAAACCUCUAUGCAUAUUCUCAUUUUAGUCUUCAUUUGUCAGGCAGAAGAAUGAG
rnacentral:misc_RNA from 1 species